rnacentral:rRNA from 1 species
GAUUAACGCUGGCGGCGUGCAUAACACAUGCAAGUCGAACGAUGAAACUUAGUAGACUUCUUCGGAAAGACACUAAGCGGCUUAGUGGCGAACGGGUGAGUAACGCGUGAGUAACCUGCCUUACACAAGGGGAUAGCCUUUGGAAACGAAGAAUAAUACCCUAUAAAACUAUAAAAGCACAUGCUAUAAUGGUCAAAGUGAUAGCGGUGUAAGAUGGACUUGCGUCUGAUUAGCUAGUUGGUGAGAUAAAAGCUCACCAAGGCAACGAUCAGUAGCCGGCUUGAGAGAGUGUACGGCCACAUUGGGACUGAGACACGGCCCAGACUCCGACGGGAGGCAGCAGUGGGGAAUUUUGCACAAUGGGGGAAACCCUGAUGCAGCGACGCCGCGUGAUUUAGAAGGCCUUCGGGUUGUAAAAAUCUUUUGUAUAGGAAGAAAAUGACAGUACUAUACGAAUAAGGUCCGGCUAAUUACGUG